rnacentral:pre_miRNA from 1 species
UAACCUCCGCAGGCUCUCUGGUCCCCAGGCUGGUCUGGGCGAGUAUCUCUUCGAAAGGCUCACCCUCAAGCACGACUAGGAGC